GCAUGUAAGAUAAAGUCAUCACAUUUAGGUGCCUCAGUUACUCCUCAAAGAUGGAUCUCCCAAAACCAGUGUUUGGCUUCAUCUCUUUGUUAACCUUGAAGAUUUUAUUGCACCACCUACCCCAUCAAUGCUGGGGUACACCCUUCCACAGACUGCUCUGUAAUGGAGGAAAGGGUUAUUGUGAAUUUAGGCAUGCAGGACCAUUCCCAGACUGGUUUCGGAGUAAGGAAAUGUGAGUAAAAACAUGCAGAUUCUGCAAAGUAAUUCCCUUAAGACUCAGUGUAACAGGGCCUGUUUUAAGACAACUGGUCUACCGUAGUCCAUCAGGUUGUUUUGCAGAUUAAAUGAGAUAAUAUGCCUUUGCUCUUUCCUCUGCCUGGAACUUUCUUCUGGAGUCUAGGUCCUCACCUGUGGCCUCUCCUCCUGUUUCAAGGCUCUUCCUCACCUCCGCCUCCCAGAGUGCUACACCCACUUUGACGCUCUCCACCCCGCACGUCCUGUUUCAUUUCCUUCCUGGCGCCUUGUCAUCUGCACAUAUCCCGGUUCUUUAACUCGUUGACUCACUUACCUGUUUUGUUCACGGCUGAAUCCCCAGAACCAACUGCUGGACCUGCAGCAGGACCUGGCCUCCUUUUUCCUAACCAGCAGGCGAGCUCCCCAAGCCUCAAGAUAAACAGCAAACAAGAUUGUGAAUUUCAAUGACAAAUGCAGCAGGCGACAUAUUUUCCAGCCCCACAUGAUUUUUAACUUGGGGAUGGUUGGUAACUUCUUCGGUUUUCCUGCUCUGAACAUCGAUAGGCCCAGUUCCUCUUUCGAUUUGGCCUCUUUGCGUCUCUUCCUGAAUUAAAUUUUUCAAGUCGCCGGCUUGUCACAGGACAUGUGGCUCUGCCCAGCUCUGUAACGCACAUUUCCUUUUUCCCAGGCGUCACAGAAAUUUGCAGUACACACUGCAAAGACAAAGAACAAAAAGACCUCACGAGCUGAGCAAAAAGAUUCAGUCAUAUCCAUGAUUUCACCAGGUUUCCAACUGGAUAAUGAAAUCAGACUCCUCCCCUCCCCCGCGGGAGGAGGGGGUCCCA